rnacentral:lncRNA from 1 species
GAGAGCUGGGUGCUUCCUUGCAUCCAAGACGGCGUGCUUGCAAUGAAGGAACCCCUGCCUUCAUCACCUGUGCAUGAGAGAGACCUGUUACAGCCCCCGGGGGUGGGGUGAAACCAGAAAAAAAAAAAAAGGUUUUCUGGCUCAAUCUGAAUAAAAAGAAGCUGGCACCGAAGCAAUGAUCUUUAUUGAAAUGGAAUAUGCUCACCAGAGUGGGUAUUUAGUGACAGAAGAUGAGAUGUGGAAGGAGAUUAUGUGAAAACCCCAAAUGCUUGUCUAUAAUGGUUUGACUUGACAACUCUACAAUCACCUGCAAAAUUGUUGUUGUUACCUUAGAUACUUUUGGUUAUUAAAUUGAGUAUUUUAGUUAAGCCAUCUUGAGUUGACAUUUAAUAAUUCAUUUAGGAGCCGUGCACAGAAUAUUACCCAGCUCACCAAAUCCAAGAUGAACAAAAUUAGUUUUGUGCACUAAAAAGAUUUUGACAAGCCUCUCUCCUCCUCUCCUCACUCUCCCCUCCUUCUCGUCUCCUGUUCUCCUCCUUUUCUCCCUCUCCCUUCCCGGCCUCUCCUCCUCUCACAGUUAGAAGCAAGUCCGUAAGGCUUUCUUGUCCUACAGGGCAAAGACGGAAGCACAUUUACAGUUUUUAGGCUAGGGUCUUUAAGCCCAUCUAGGCGCAGUCCUAAAACCGUGUAGGAUGUAGAUAGGUCAUUAAUCUGUGCUUGCUUUUUUCAAGCAGCCCUGAUUUUAGAUCUUUCAUGUCCACUUCCUUGAGAAACAAUUUUGCCUUUGUAAAGUCUGCACCGGUAAAAUCCUUCAGUGACACCCAAAAUGUCGACACAGCCAGCGGGAGGGCUGCGUGGACAUGUGGGCUGGUCAGCCGCAAGCUCUGAUAUCCCGGAACACACGUCCAUCCGCCCGGGUGGACGGCGGUAGAGCCAUCAGACCCACAUCCGCCUUCGUCUACCAUGUGGGGAAUGCUAUGCCUCGCACAGCUCAAUCCUGCAUGUUCGCGAAUCUUCAGGGGUGAAAAGGAGAGGAACGGAGCAUUCACAGCUACAAUGAAGCUACAAGCAGUUGUAGGCAAAACUGUAUGGUACAGCAUAUGCACAGUGCAUGCCUUCCCUUCACACCUCGGAAGGCAGCAGGACUCCCCGGCAAGCGCAAGCUGUCACCAUUCCCUUGGGAAGGCAGCUCUCUGAAGAAUACUUCUUCCACCUGAUGGUCCACCUUCCAGAAUGCAGCUCCUGGGAAACAGCAUCAGGCCAGUCUGGGAAGGCAUGUGUUUCCUCAGAUGUGUUGGAACAUUUCCUCUGAAAAAUAGGAGGAAAAGUGGAUCUGAUGUCAUACUGGCAACCUCUCUGAUGGGACUCACAUGCUUGAGGGUAAAGGUGGCCAUGCAGUCAGAAUCAGCAUUGACUCCAGAUAAAUGCAUGGCCAUGUUGGCUCAUUUCUCCCCAUCAGAGUUUAGACAGGGGUGAAGGAGGCUGGCUUCAUCACACCAUGGAGUGUGAUGCACCAGCUGCCUGCAGGUGAUGUUGAAGAUAGCCAGGUGAUCUCUGACUCCUAGGACUUUAAAUGCUUAGCAGCUCAUAUCAAGAGAGGUUACUGUCUUGCCUUGGUUAUUGUUUUUUUAAAUUAUUCCUCCAAAAUCACAUAGAUAAAUACUGCAAUGUAUACCAGCUGUUAGUGAGACAUUAUGAUGAGUUGGUUUACAAAAAGGAGAUUUAAUUCAUUCAUUCAAACAACGAAUACUUUUUGGGCACCUACACUAUUCUGGGAGUUUUGCUAGGUCUGGGGGGUUCCAAAAUAAAUAUGAAAGGUAAGUGUUAUGAGUUCGCUGUUGCUGCAUAACAGACAGCCCAAAACUUGUGGACUUAAGCAGCAAUCCUGCAUUACCACCCAGGUGUCUAUGAGUUGGCUGGGGCUUGGAUGAUCUAGAAUGGGCUUGACUAAGCAGCUCUCCAUCUGUGAUUGCUAGGUUGUCUACAAUGUCUCUUUCCACCUGUCUCUCACACUUUUUGGAUCAGAGAAGUAACUGGGGCAUGUUCUCCCCAUGGUGAUACCAGAGGCACAAGAGGGUCUACUGAAAUCAAGGGCUUCUAAAUGCCUCAUCUCAAAAUUGGCACCCUCCUGUCUCCAUCUACAUUCCAUUGGCUAAAAGUAAAUCACAUAGCCAACCUCAGAGCUCAGAGUUAAGGAAGCAUAUGCAACCUGUGAUGAGGCCACAGCAAGGGUGUGGAUGCAAGAAGGUGUGAUGGAGGUCAACAGUGACACCUACAGUGGGAAGAUAUCAUUUCCUAUUCUUCAUGCUGCUGAUGGGCACAGGAAUGGUAUUUUGGUCCAUUAAGGCUGCUAUAACCAAAUACUAUAGACUGGGUGGCCCACGAAUGACAGGUAUUUAUUUCUUACAGUUCUGGAGGCUGGGAAGUCCAAGACCAAGGUGCUGGCAGAUUCGGUGUCUGGUGAAUCAGCUUUCUAGUUCAUAGACGGUGACUGCUUGCUGUGUUCUCACAUGGUGGAAAAGAAAAGAGAUCUCUCUUGGGCCUCUUUUAUAAAACCACCAAUCCUGUGCAUUAGGACUCCAUCUCCAUGACUUAAUCACCUUCCAAAGGCCCCACCUCCUAAGGCCGUCACCUUAGGGGUGAACUUCAAUAUAGGAAUUUGGGGAAAAAGCACAAACAUUCAGAUAGUAGCAAAUGAUGACUUCUUCCCUGAAAGUAUUGGGGGAAAAAUUCCCACUCCAUUCCCUCUUUCCUGAAGGACAGCUGCUGGGAAGGAUGAGAAGAUGUCCAUGGGUGUCUUAAGCUAUGAAAGAUUUGCUAUUCCCUGUGGUCUGCCUCAAUUUUUCCUUUAGGGACCACAGGGGAAAGAUGCUCUUGGCUUCUGCUUCCAUGUGACAGAUAUCCCUCCCCACAGCAAGUCUACGGCCUGGUUCUGUCUCUGCCUGGACUCUGUCAGUGGCCGGAGACUAGACAGAGGAAGACAGGGAGGCUUGGGCUCUCUGCAGAUCCAAUCCAGCUCUGCAAACAACCAUGCUAUUUUCAUCAACCCUUGACCCUUGGGUCUACUUCUCAUUUGUUUGAGAACUCAGAGGAGAAGGCCUCUGAUUAGCAUCUUAGAAGUUCCCAAAAUGUCACACGGAUUCUGUCCUUGCAGAGCUCCCAGGGUGAUACGGGGCUUGUCUGGGGAUGACACGGGGCCAGGGCCUUGACAUCCCUACACACAGAGGCAUCCCCCUUACUGAGGUUCACAGGAUGUAGCAUCUACCUCCUCUCCACACCUCAAAUAUUCCCCAAUUAGUGUCCCUAUUGACCUAGUGGGGUGAAUCUUCAGCUUCGCAUCAUAAUGUGGAAGACAGGUGGUGCUUACAUGAGAAACAGAACAGAAGAGAAUUAACACAUGAUGCAAGCAACUGGAUCAAUGGAGACAUCCCAAUUUGAUAAAUCAGGCCCAGGUUUGUUUGUUCGUUUGUUUGUUUAAUCUUCAUCUAUGUAGUUUGUCCAUCCAGGUAGUAACCCAAGACAAUGUCCUGCCUCCAGUCCUACUGCUGGUGCCCCAGCUCUUCUCUGCACUAGCUCUCAUGCUUUCCGCACCUCUGUCCACUCACCUGCAAGAUGCAGGUGAACACAGGACCCCCCUCUUCAGAUGACUGUGAACCUCCGUGAGAUCCAGUGGAUGGGAAGUUCUUGGCACAGUGCAGGGCACACCGGAAGGACAGAUGGGCCACGAGUUUCAUUAUUGACCUAGCGCACACAUUCUUUGAGGUAGAGGCUGGCAGAGACUCAAGCUGCGUCCUCCCCCGAACAGAUGUGGACCCUGUUAAUCGUGGUCUUUCAUCUUUGCUUACAGUUAUGUGACACUGCUUCUCUAAGCAGAUUUGGGGAGAGAUUUGUUUUCAUAAAUCAUGUUUAUAUGUUACCGAAGCUUUGUUUACUCAUUUAGGAACAAGUUAAGGGCAUUGGGGUACAUGUCUGUGGGGACAGAUGGGUGGGGAAAGGAAGUGUUUGGAGGAGUUCUUUGGUACACACACAAAGGUAGGAACUGACCCAAGAACCUGGCUUCAAAGUCAGAUGUCGAGCUGUUUCACUGUGUGACAGACUGAGAGCCAGACUCAAAGCGGGGCUGGGUAAGGCUUCUUCACCCAGAUCCUAAAAUUACGCAAGUCCAUGAAAAUCCCGUUUUGAUUACAUCAAGAACUUCUGGCAGAAAUAUUUCUGGUACCUAACCUUAAACUGGAGGAUAUUGCAUUGGCGGUGGCGGCGCUGAGAGCACGAAGCCUCAGAAGUGGGACAGCUGUUGGAAAUCAGAUGUUGUCUAAGAGAGUUUAUUAUGCUCCCUCUACACUGCUAACCCUCGGCAAAAGCCAGGUGAGAGAUCCUUUCACCAAUGAGGAUGCGUUUCCUCUCUAGGGUUUCCUGAGCCACCUGUAGGGCCAGGAGAGUCCCUGAAUUUUCAGAAUAUGCAGAAACUCCUCUGACAAGCAGCUUUGCUUAAGCAGAGAAUGUGAUGGUGUCCAAGGUGGCUUGGAUAAACGUUACACUCACAGAGAAGGCUCUGAGCCUUCUUCUGGCCUGUGGGCAUUAACCUGAACCAAGUAAUUGUGUAUUUUUUUUAACUGUUAUACUUUUCUACUUUAGAUAUGUACUCACAUGCAGAAAAGAAAUCCCUAUUUUAUUUUUUGUCAAAACCCAGUUUACUUGUUAUUUUCUUUUUAAAACUUCUCUGACAACUCCACUGGUCACUUCCAUAUGAAUUUCAACUCUAUUCCCCAUUCAUACCUCUCUGGCAUCACCAGCUUGUGAUGGUGGUGAUGUCAUCUGACUCCUGGCUAGAGACCCACGAUCACCCUGAGACAGCAUGUAUGUCUUCUUCUUUAUGUACUUCCAGUGCCCAACCAAAGCCACUGGUUCUGAGAUAGUUUCAGAGAAGGCGGGGCUGAGCUGAAAGAACACAUCCAGCAUGGGUCUAAUUAUUUGAACAAGUAAUUGGAUUGGAUUAACCACUAGCACGUUAACCACCUGAUGAGAGUGAGUUGACUAAUCUUACCGUCUUAUAUAUAAUUGAGAGUAGAUUCCGAAUGAGACGUGAGAAGAGCAUCUCUGCAUUUUUAGGGGCAUAAGAGAGGCCUUGUUUAUUAAUUCAACCAUAAUCAUUGGUUAUCUACCUUGUGCAAGGCCCUGUCAUAGGCACAAGUGAUAGGUUUAUCACUAGUACUAGUAUAAUUGUUACAGCAGGUAGCUAGUCAGACAGGAACAGGGCAGGAGAGCCCCCUGACUCCCUCCCUCUCUCCCUCACCAAUCAGGAAUGUCAGGCAACCAUCAAGUGAUGGUGAGGUAGUUGUUAAGUAUCUCUCUAAAAAAAUAAUUGAUCAAUGCCAGGGAAAGGCAGUCUCUCAAUACACAGAAACACCUGUAAUUGCUGAUCAGCAGCUUCCCGAUGACAUCUCAGGAGUUGGGCAAGCGGGCUCAAGCAUGAGCACUAAGAGGCAAAAUGGCGGAGUUUAACCGCUAUAGCAUUUGGACUAGUAAAGGAAGAAUGCCUCAUGUGAGCAUGCGUACAACUCCAGUAAACGCACCACGCAUGCAGCCCCUCCCAAGUGCUACUGGGCCACUGUACAUGGGCACAGCCCACCGCAAGGGAAGAAUCAGGGGAGAAGUUUUUAAUAAACUUUCACUCCUUCUCUAAA